UGAAUACGAGACGCUAAGGCGUCGAAGUAGUGUAUGUCAUACUUCCAAGAAAAGCUUGCACUGUCAUAGAUAAAAAACGCCUGUACCAUAACCGACACAGGCGGGUAGGUAGAGUAUACUAAGGGGCGCGAGAUAACUCUCUCUAAGGAACUCGGCAAAAUAACUCCGUAACUUCGGGAGAAGGAGUGCCUUAUUCGUAAGGUUGCAAUAACAAGAUCCAAGCAACUGUUUAUCAAAAACACAGGUCUCCGCUAAGUCGUAAGACGAUGUAUGGGGGCUGACGCCUGCCCAGUGCCAGAAGGUUAAAGAAGUUGGUUAGCAAUUGCGAAGCUGAUAACUGAAGCCCUGGUGAACGGCGGCCGUAACUAUAACGGUCCUAAGGUAGCGAAAUUCCUUGUCGGGUAAGUUCCGACCCGCACGAAAGGCGUAAUGAUUUGGAUACUGUCUCGGAGAGGGGCUCGGUGAAAUAGACUUGUCUGUGAAGAUGCGGACUACCUGCACCAGGACAGAAAGACCCUAUGAAGCUUUACUGUAACUUGAAAUUGAAAUUGGACUUUAUUCGCGCAGUAUAGGUGGGAGGCGUUGAUUAUAAUCUUGUGGGAUUAUUGGAGCCAUCAGUGAGAUACCACUCUUGUAAUGUUAGAUUUCUAACUUUGAAUCAUUAUCUGGUCAAAGAACAGUUUCAGGCGGGCAGUUUGACUGGGGCGGUCGCCUCCUAAACGGUAACGGAGGCGUACAAAGGUUUCCUCUGAACGGUUAGAAAUCGUAUCUAGAGUGUAAAGGCAUAAGGAAGCUUGACUGUGAGACCUACAAGUCGAGCAGGGACGAAAGUCGGUCUUAGUGAUCUGACGGUACUGAGUGGAAAGGCCGUCACUCAACGGAUAAAAGUUACUCUAGGAUAACAGGCUGAUCUCCCCCAAGAGUUCACAUCGACGGGGAGGUUUGGCACCUCGAUGUCGGCUCAUCGCAUCCUGGGGCGGUAGUACGUCCCAAGGGUUGGGCUGUUCGCCCAUGAAAGCGGUACGCGAGCUGGGUUCAGAACGUCGUGAGACAGCUCGGUCCAUAUCCGGUGUAGGCGUUAGAAUAUUGAGAGGAGCCUUCUUUAGUACGAGAGGACCGAGAAGGACAUACCUCUGGUGUACCAGUUAUCGUGCCAACGGUAAACGCUGGGUAGCUAUGUAUGGAGUGGAUAACCGCUGAAAGCAUCUAAGUGGGAAGCCCACCUCAAGAUAAGUAUUCUCAU
rnacentral:rRNA from 1 species